rnacentral:rRNA from 1 species
UACGGAGGAUGCGAGCGUUAUCCGGAUUUAUUGGGUUUAAAGGGUGCGUAGGCGGAAUAUCAAGUCAGCGGUAAAAAUUCGGGGCUCAACCCCGUCGUGCCGUUGAAACUGACACCCUUGAGUGAGUGAGAAGUAAGCGGAAUGCGUGGUGUAGCGGUGAAAUGCAUAGAUAUCACGCAGAACUCCGAUUGCGAAGGCAGCAUACCGGCGCUCAACUGACGCUCAUGCACGAAAGUGUGGAUAUCGAACAGG